ACGCUCUUAGUUCAGUUCGUAGAACGCGGGUCUCCAAACCCGAUGUCGUAGGUUCAAUCCUACAGAGCGUG
rnacentral:tRNA from 1 species